GCAAAUCCCUAAAAGACCAUCCCAGUUCGGAUCGCAGGCUGCAACCCGCCUGCGUGAAGUUGGAAUCGCUAGUAAUCGCGGAUCAGCAUGCCGCGGUGAAUACGUUCCCGGGCCUUGUACACACCGCCCGCCACACCAUGAGAGUCGGGAACACCCGAAGUCCGUAGCCUAACCGGGAAGGGGGGCGCGGCCGAAGGUGGGUUCGAUAAUUGGGGUGAAGUCGUAACAAGGUAUC
rnacentral:rRNA from 1 species